AAGCUCUAUCUCUUCAUCACAGAUAGAACUCCAGAAUUCAAUUGCUUGAAGGGCAACAGCCUCCUCAUCUUCUUUAACUGCUUUAGCUGUCAACUGGAAGAGAGCCUGCAUGUAAGGUUCAAGCAACUCAUAAUACGUUGAUGCUAUAGAAACAAGACACUCAAAAGCAGCCUGCCUUAACUGUCCCUCCUUUGCUGUGGCUGCCUCACAGAUGACCUUCAUAAUAUAAUUUCUCUCCAUCUCAUUGUCAAAGUUUGUCUGAGCAAAAUCCAGAGCAUUAUACAAAGCUCGAGUUGCAGCGAGUCUGACUUCAACGCUUUCCUCCUCAACAUUCAUACCUUGAACAACAGCUGU
rnacentral:misc_RNA from 1 species